rnacentral:rRNA from 1 species
CGCAAUGGGGGAAACCCUGACGUAGCGACACCGCGUGAGCGAAGAAGCCCUUUGGGGUGUAAAGCUCUGUCAACAGGAACGAAAAAAAUGACGGUACCUGUGGAGGAAGCAUCGGCUAACUACGUGCCAGCAGCCGCGGUAAGACGUAGGAUGCAAGCGUUGUCCGGAUUUAUUGGGCGUAAAGAGUUCGUAGGCGGUUUGUUAAGUCUGAUGUUAAAGACCGGGGCUCAACCUCGGAAAUGCAUUGGAUACUGGCAGACUGGAGUGCAGUAGAGGCUAGUGGAAUUCCCAGUGUAGCGGUGAAAUGCGUAGAUAUUGGGAAGAACACCGGUGGCGUAGGCGACUAGCUGGGCUGUAACUGACGCUGAGGAACGAAAGCCA